AACGAACGCUGGCGGCGUGCCUAACACAUGCAAGUCGAACGGAGAUUCAGAAGAAGCCUAGCGAUUCUGAGUCUUAGUGGCGGACGGGUGAGUAACACGUGGGUAACCUGCCUGGAAGACAGGGAUAACGAUUCGAAAGGGUCGCUAAUACCUGAUAAUAUCCUUUCAUCGCAUGGUGAUAGGAAGAAAGGGGAAACCCGCUUUCAGAUGGGCCCGCGUCCCAUCAGCUAGUUGGUAAGGUAAAGGCUUACCAAGGCGACGACGGGUAGCCGGUCUGAGAGGAUGUACGGCCACACUGGGACUGAGAUACGGCCCAGACUCCUACGGGAGGCAGCAGUUGGGAAUCUUAGGCAAUGGACGAAAGUCUGACCUAGCGACGCCGCGUGAGGGAAGAAGGCCUUCGGGUUGUAAACCGUCUGUCAUGGGGAAGAAGUAAGUGACGGUACCCCAAGAGGAAGCCCCUGCUAACUACGUG
rnacentral:rRNA from 1 species